rnacentral:misc_RNA from 1 species
CAAGGAUAGCCGACGCAUCAGUAAAAAAUUUCCAGUUAACACUAGCUUGAUUAUUGUUAUUAUACUAGCCUGAGCUGAAGAGAAUUUCCCGGCUUAAGGGACUUGUUGGGCUCAGUAGAACUGGAGAUAUCGAAUUUUUUUUAAAAAAUCGCAGACAGUAUGAUAUCCCACAGGCAUCAAUAGCACAUUGAAAACGAAAGAGUCAGGUGUUGCCUUGUGGUUCAUCUGUAGGCGACGGAAACUGAACCUAAGGAUUGAAGUCCGUUAUAAUGCAGAAGUACCACCUCAACAAAGCUUCUAUCUGGACAUGCGUGAAGGGGAUUUCAAAUUGGAAUCCUACUCCAAUUAUUUUGAAAUGCAAGACUAUUUUCCAUUAAUCACCAGUUUCCUUGAAAGGCAUGUGGACUCGCGUGCUCGUGUCAUGACAGGGUUGACAUGUGUGAGCUUCUACCUUCGUGAUGGGGGUAGCAUUGUCAGUCACUUGAUGGUGAGUGAUCACAAUGAAGCCUGGAUAAAUAAAGUUGAUGAUCAUGGAAGGAGGUCAGAAUUUGUCUGUGAGAGUAACCGCGAGUCUAACUUCACCACCAAGGCAGAAUUUGAUCUAAUAAAUAAUUUUGUGAGUGGUAAUCGUACAGCCCCGUGGCUAGUAAGUGUUCUUUGCCUCUUUUCAGGAUGGGCUGUGGUAAGGUUUGGCAUGGAAAGAGUGUCACUUCAUGAGAUCUAACUGGAAUGCUAAAGAAGUGAUGUAAAAAAUAAUAAAGACUGAGAAGAAAAGAGGAGAGGAUUUUAGAAUGCUAGAGUUUGUUAUUCAUGGUAAUUGCUGAAAGAUAAGAAACAGAAUGUGUAUAGGGGUUAAAUGUAAGUGUCAGUGCCCUGGUAUUACAAGAUAUUUAAUUUUGUAAACAAAGUUGAUAUGAAUUGGCCAAAGUAAACCCAUUUUUAACUCAGUUAUGAGAAUGUUGAAGAUACACUUUUGAUGUAUUAUUUUAAUAUUUUGUACAGAAUAAAUGUAUGCGUUGCUGCUGCCUA